UACUUGUAUUCUUUCUUCUAACACAGAUGAUAAUCUUCUUCUUCCUUCUCCUGAACUUGCAGCUUUUGGGCUUUAUUGCGCCUGCGAACUUCUUCUUUCUUUGAUGAUAUACACUGCUCCAAGAAAUUAUCUAUGAUACUCAUGGCCAUGCUUAGCUUCUUCUCCUGUCCUAUAUUAAGCCAUUUCUGCAACUUCCAGAUGCUUUCAGGGACAAUAUGCCUGUAAAACACAGCCUCCUCUACAUCAUCGAACGCCGUCUUGUUUGCAACUUCAGGUAAAUCAACGGAGAGGCUAUUUGGAUCAAAGCCUAGAACCAAAAGGCAAAUAUUAUCGAAGGUGAAUCUCUGAAACAAAUCUUGCAAGUCCACAGCAAUUCCAAGCCUGGAUACGUGCUGAAGAACUGGGAUUAGGCCUUUCGUCACCUUAUCUCGCAUAGACCUCUCAAGAAACAACUGGAACUUGUUAUCUUUAAUCAUGGACUGAAUCAUCCUGCGGAAAGAUUUCCAUGAUUCAAAGUCGGAAUUGAGAACACCGUCUCCGAAGGGCUCGAAAAUCUUCUUGUAAUCAGGGCCUUUCUGGUAGUUGAGAAAAUUUCUGGUGGAAAUGUGGCGGACAUUGAUAGGAUCACAAGUGAGCAAAAUGUUCAUGUUGGCAAACCAUGGUCCUCUGAACUCAAAGGUGCCACCACUUUGUUUCAGGAGCUGGGUGGCGUAUUGAUGAAUAUGGGGAGCUUUAUAAAGAAGUCCCGGCAACAUUCCAACGACGGGCCAGUUUGUAACCGGCGAAAUUGCAUUGUUCCAAAUCCAAUGGCUGAGAAGGAGCAUGAAAAUGAAAACUGCAAGAAUCUGCAAGCAUUCGGCUAUAGCCAUUAGAGCUACUAGUCUAAGGUAGAA
rnacentral:misc_RNA from 1 species